rnacentral:lncRNA from 1 species
AUCAUGGAUGCUGUCAGGGGACAUCAUGGAUGCUGUCAGGGGACAUCAUGGAUGCUGUCAGGGGACAUCAUGGAUGCUGUUGGGGAAUAUCAUGGAUGCUGUGGGUGACAUCAUCGACGCUGUUGGAGGACAUCUGAGGAAGACCCAUGAACAGAACUGGGAACGUGAGGGCUGGAGGCAGAACCUCAGGGACCACUUGUUUUCGAGGUCGAUGCCAACUCCUGGAGGAGGAGAUUCCCGAGGUUUCCCCACUAGCCCCCUCUGUCCAAGGCCAUGCAGUGAGGACCAGAUUCCUGUAUGCAUGCCGGCUCUGCUCUGGAAAGGGGGUGCCAGUGUGCUGGACUUGGUCACGGAGAGCACGCUCAUCUUAUGGCUUGGUGUGCAUGUCUGACGUGGGUAUGUACAUGAGUCCAGGUAUCUGAGGAGGCCUUGGAUCCCCUGGAUGUUGGAAGCUGCUUGACAUGGUGCUGAGAACUGAACUUGAGCCCUCUGGAGGAGCAGCCAGUGCCCUUAACUUCUGAGUCAUCUCUCUACCCCUGACAUUGUUAGAGAUUGCUGGGGAAGACUCGUACUUACUCUGUGUGUGACACCAUGCCUUCCAAUGUCUAGUUUCAUUCCAUGCCCAGAGAUGUGUAAAAAAAAUAAAAUCAGAUAAAUUUCAAAAAAAAAAAAAAA